GACGAACGCUGGCGGCGUGCUUAACACAUGCAAGUCGAACGGAAAGGCCCUGCUUUUGUGGGGUGCUCGAUUGGCGAACGGGUGAGUAACACGCGAGUAACCUGCCCUUGACUUUGGGAUAACUUCAGGAAACUGGGGCUAAUACCGGAUAGGAGCUCCUGCUGCAUGGGGGGGGUUGGAAAGUUUCGGCCGUUGGGGAUGGACUCGCGGCUUAUCAGCUUGAUGGUGGGGUAGUGGCUUACCAAGGCUUUGACGGGUAGCCGGCCUGAGAGGGUGAACGGCCACAUUGGGACUGAGAUACGGCCCAGACUCCUACGGGAGGCAGCAGUGGGGAAUAUUGCACAAUGAGCGGAAGCCUGAUGCAGUAACGCCGCGUGCGGGAUGACGGCCUUCGGGUUGUAAACCGCUUUCGCCUGUGACGAAGCGUGAGUGACGGUAAUGGGUAAAGAAGCACCGGCUAACUACGUG
rnacentral:rRNA from 1 species